UACAGAGGUCUCAAGCGUUGUUCGGAUUCAUUGGGCGUAAAGGGUGCGUAGGCGGCGCGGUAAGUCGGGUGUGAAAUCUCGGGGCUUAACUCCGAAACUGCAUUCGAUACUGCCGUGCUUGAGGACUGGAGAGGAGACUGGAAUUUACGGUGUAGCAGUGAAAUGCGUAGAGAUGUGGAGGAACACCGAUGGCGAAGGCAGCCCCCUGGGCUAACACUGACGCUCAUGCACGAAAGCGUGGGGAGCAAACAGG
rnacentral:rRNA from 1 species